GAGAUGUUUAAAUACAGAGAUGUUUAGUUCUACACUGGACCCUUGAUAGGAUUUGCUUCUAUGACCUUCUAUCACACAAACGUUCCUAGGCUAUGGUGCCCACUUGGUCACUGUUUUUU